UCCUGGCCCCACCGAAAUGGUCCAGACUAGAGACCGAAGUGAGUAUGGACGCUGCCAGGGCGUCACCAUGUGGCUCACCGUGUAACGGUCUUCGGUCUCGGGUGCUGCAGCCCACAUGUAAAUUCCGCAGUGGCCAAGGCUCGAACCCAGGAACGGACACUCCAGCUGGAGCUCCUAUACCACUAGACCAAAGCAACUUGGUUCUCUGGUUCUAUUUACACCACAACUAUCUUUGUUAUAAUUGUUUUGGCAAUUUACUAUAAGGACCACAUUAUUUUUGACAUGCUUUAAGCCUCAAAAAUGUUUGGGACGGCACUAUAAGCCUCCCACCACAUGUACACCCAUAUUUAUAUUUACAUGUAUAUUCUCCUCCAUUUUCAUCAUCUCUAAUAUCUCCAAGUCACACUUCCAAGAGAAGUCAGGUUCUGGUGAGGAUGAGAUUUGGGAAGAUUGUAGAAGGCUUGAAGUCCAAGAUAAAGGCAAGUCUAAGGAUGAGGAAGAGAUCCUCAUUAUCAUCAUCAUCAUCAUCAUCGUCAUCAUCGUCAUCAUCGUAUGAGAAGAUAGAGAAGACUGACAGUAUGAGAUUUGAGUUAAGAAGCAGAAAGGCGCACAAAAUUAUCCAACAAACUCUUCGGAUUGCCGACUCUCCAACCUCAAGAACUUAUGCUUUAUGAUUUCAUCGUUUUACCAUCCAAAACAUAUUCAUACAUACAUAUAGACUUGCGUGUACGCAUCUGUUUAUACAUAUCCAUCUAAAUUAUUGUACGUGUGUGUAUGUAUGUGUGAAAGGUUAUAUGGAUGAUGUCAUGGGUGAUGGAUAUAUAUUAUCUUGGCUAAUGGAUGAUGAUUAGGUGAA